rnacentral:rRNA from 1 species
GGUACGGGUUGUGAGAGCAAGAGCCCGGAGAUGGAUUCUGAGACACGAAUCCAGGCCCUACGGGGUGCAGCAGGCGCGAAAACUUUACAAUGCCGGCAACGGCAAUAAGGGGACCUCGAGUGCCAGGUUACAAAUCUGGCUGUCGUGAUGCCUAAAAAGCAUUGCAUAGCAAGGGCCGGGCAAGACCGGUGCCAGCCGCCGCGGUAACACCGGCGGCUCGAGUGGUAACCGUUAUUAUUGGGUCUAAAGGGUCUGUAGCCGGCCGGAUAAGUCUCUUGAGAAAUCCAGCAGCUCAACUGUUGGGCUUUCAGGAGAUACUGUUCGGCUCGAGGCCGGGAGAGGUGAGAGGUACUUCAGGGGUAGGGGUGAAAUCUUGUAAUCCUUGAAGGACCACCAGUGGCGAAGGCGUCUCACCAGAACGGACCUGACGGCAAGGGACGAAAGCUAGGGGCACGAACCGGAUUAGAUACCCGGGUAGUCCUAGCCGUAAACGAUACUCGCUAGGUGUCGGCCACGGUGCGACCGUUGUCGGUGCCGUAGGGAAGCCGUGAAGCGAGC